GACGAACGCUGGCGGCGUGCCUAAUACAUGCAAGUCGAGCGGAAGUUGGAGAGCUUGCUCUUCAACUUUAGCGGCGGACGGGUGAGUAACACGUGGGCAACCUGCCCUGCAGAUCGGGAUAAUUCCGGGAAACCGGUGCUAAUACCGAAUAGUUUUCGCCACCUCCUGGUGGCGUACGGAAAGACGGUUUCGGCUGUCACUGCAGGAUGGGCCCGCGGCGCAUUAGCUAGUUGGUGGGGUAACGGCCCACCAAGGCAACGAUGCGUAGCCGACCUGAGAGGGUGAUCGGCCACACUGGGACUGAGACACGGCCCAGACUCCUACGGGAGGCAGCGGUAGGGAAUCUUCCGCAAUGGACGAAAGUCUGACGGAGCAACGCCGCGUGAGUGACGAAGGUUUUCGGAUCGUAAAACUCUGUUGUGAGGGAAGAACAAGUACCAACUAACUACUGGUACCUUGACGGUACCUCACCAGAAAGCCACGGCUAACUACGUGCCAGCCGCCGCGGUAAGAC
rnacentral:rRNA from 1 species